rnacentral:ncRNA from 1 species
AGCGAUACUGACGUGCAAAUCGUUCGUCUGACUUGGGUAUAGGGGCGAAAGACUAAUCGAACCAUCUAGUAGCUGGUUCCCUCCGAAGUUACCCUCAGGAUAGCUGGAGCCCAUUACGAGUUCUAUCAGGUAAAGCCAAUGAUUAGAGGCAUUGGGGACGCAACGUCCUCGACCUAUUCUCAAACUUUAAAUAGGUAGGAUGGCUCGGCUG